UACGGGGGUGCGAGCGUUGUCCGGAAUCACUGGGCGUAAAGCGCGCGUAGGCGGACAUUUAAGUCAGGGGUGAAAUGCCGGGGCUCAACCUCGGAACUGCCUUUGAUACUGGGUGUCUGGAGUUCGGGAGAGGUGAGUGGAAUUCCGAGUGUAGAGGUGAAAUUCGUAGAUAUUCGGAGGAACACCAGAAGCGAAGGCGGCUCACUGGCCCGAUACUGACGCUGAGGCGCGAAAGCGUGGGGAGCAAACAGG
rnacentral:rRNA from 1 species